AUAAACGCUGGCGGCGCACAUAAGACAUGCAAGUCGAACGGGAAUCGUUAAAAACGGAUUGACGAUUUAUCAGAUUGAAGUUUUUAACAAUGGUUCUAGUGGCGGACUGGUGAGUAACACGUAAGCAACCUGCCUAUUAGAGGGGAAUAACAGUGAGAAAUCAUUGCUAAUACCGCAUAUGCUCACAGCAGCACAUGUUGCAGCGAGGAAAGGAGUAAUCCACUAAUAGAUGGGCUUGCGUCUGAUUAGAUAGUUGGUGGGGUAACGGCCUACCAAGUCAACGAUCAGUAGCCGGACUGAGAGGUUGAACGGCCACAUUGGGACUGAGAUACGGCCCAGACUCCUACGGGAGGCAGCAGUCGGGAAUAUUGCGCAAUGGAGGAAACUCUGACGCAAGUGACGCCGCGUGCAGGAAGAAGGUUUUCGGAUUGUAAACUGCUUUAGUCAGGGAAGAUACAAGACAGUACCUGAAGAAUAAGCACCGGCUAACUAUGUGCCAGCAGCAGC
rnacentral:rRNA from 1 species